rnacentral:lncRNA from 1 species
UAGUAAUACAAUUCGAUAUUUAUUUUAAGAAUUACAUAUAAAUUAGUCCAACUUCAUCACAUUUCAAUCUGUGUAAAACAGCUUUACCAUAGUCAAUACAAGUUUUGUAAAUAUUUACAGCAAGCAUGGUUAUACCUUUGUCUAAAACGAUAAUCGAUAUACAUUAAUUUUCAUAGCAAAACAUGCAAAAACCAUCUUCUUUUUUUCUUUGUGUCAUUAAGAUUCUAGAUUGUUUUUAAAAGAAAACUCGAAUGAAAGAGCAUCAUCUAUCUAUUCAAAAUCUGUCAAUGAAUUCGAUGUAUCCUCGGACUUUUAACGAAACUAUUUUUACAGGAAGAGAUAUUUUAACAAACUAUGAUAAAAAUGCAUUAAUGAUUUGUUUAAAUUUGAAGCCAUGUCUGUCAUCAUGUGUUUCUUUUUUUUUUCUUGUUUUUGGAACUUUUAUUUGUCUUUUCUGUCUUGUGCAUUUCGACCGUUGUCGAUCAGUUAUAGUCGUACAGUUUUGGAUUAAAUGCGCGGUGAAUUGAUUCUUUAAAUGUAAUAUUGAAAAAUGAUUGCGAUA